UUGUCAUUUUGUUUGGUUGUUGUUGAAUGUAAAAUAUCCUGAAACAGUUAUGUAAAACUGAGUACCUCAUCAAUAUUACAUCUGCAACAGAUGAUGAAAACCUCCCUGCAUGGACAAUAAUCCAUUUAGUUCAUCCCGCAAGAUCUCCAGUGCCAGAUGCAGUAUCUGGCCUUUUGAUUCAGCUUUGAGAUUCACUAGUGGAAAACCACAGGCAGCCAAACGAAUCCCUGUUGACUACAUAUCUACGCAGGAGCAUACGCAAGCCACGCUCUAGAUAUGAACCUUACUGGAUCUGAAUUAUUAGCCCAGCAUUGAAACAGCUAUUUUCAUGACAAGCCUUCUGUCGCCUGCAGGGAUCCCUGGAUACAAACGGAUCUAUGCUGUCCAUCUUCCAUGUGUACCCAUUCUUUUAUGCAACUCUUCUGUUCUGAGGCAAGAAAAAAUUUCUUACAUCACACAGGGCUAUCUUAUGCUCAAACUAGGAGCGCUCAGCAAGUCUCUCGUAAUCAAAAGCCAUUUGCACUGAUCUUCAGACAAGACAGUGGGCGGGCUGCUUUCUCAGGGGGGUAUUUGUCCCUUCCUGAACUGAUUUGCUGUGGUAUCCUUUUCCUACCUGAAUUGUAACAAGCUCUGAGAUACCAAUGCUGAGGGAAGCAUGGCAGUCCCUCCACCCACUGCCCCUCUUUAAGGCCUUGCAAGGAAAACCUGCUUCAUCUUCCUGCCCUCCCUGGGGCUCCCCAUGGGACUCUUGCCCAGGCCAGAGCAGCUUUCCCAUCCUGUGAUGUUAUCUCAGUGGCAGCCUGGUGCUGGGAAGGGCACGCUGCUUCUCUGCCACUUACCAGCCUUGUGUAGCACACAGAGAGUAUUUGCCUUAGCGGAAAAUUGUGGCAUUUCCUCCUAAUUAUAUGGGUUUUACUUGCCAGUCAAGGCUCUGAUAGCUGAGAGAGAGAAGCAAGGCUGCUAUCUAAAACCACGCAGAGGUCCAAGACAAAUGUUCUUCGCAGCUUGCAGAGGUGUUGCUAGGUGUCAUUUAGUUUUCAGCCUCUCGGGGGGAAUGAGGGCACUGCUUACUUUUUUGUAUUUGCUGGAGAAGGGAGCAACCUGCCUAGCACCUUUUCCCUGCUCCAUGAGAGCCGUUCAGGACCAAGCGGUCAUAAAAGCACUUUCCAGAUGUUAAUAUGGGGAGAGGGAGUCUCAGAGAAAAAUGUUUCUGGUUUACGUCCAGAGAUGGAUGCUGUAUGUUCCUGGUUGUGAUAUA